UGACAUAUGGAGGCAUCAGGCAAGUUGAAGGGUAGAGAGUGGGAAGCAUAUUUGAUCAAAAUAUAUCAGAUUCAUACAUGAAAUUCUAAAACAAUACAUUUUGAAAGUUAAAAAAAUAAUCUAAAUUCUAUGCUUGGAAAAAUUCUAAUGUUGGGUGUUGCCACAGGCCUCUAACCCCAAUGCUUGGAGACAGAGACAGGAAGAUCAUAGGGCCUUAUUGAUUAGCUAGUCUAGCCAAAAUCUUGAGUUUUUGGUUCAGUGAAAAGAUUUUUAGCUCAUCAAAUAAAAGGAAAAGAACACAUCUUGACAUCAGCCCCUGGCCUCCACAGUGCAUACAUGGGUACCAGCUGCACACAUAUGUAAACAAUUGACACACAACACACACAUACACACAGUUUCACCCAUCACAUACACACAUUCAUACUACACAUACACACACAUUCAUAUACCACAUACACACACAUACAAACACCACAUGUACAUACAUUCAUACCACACAUACACACACAUUCACUCACCACAUAUAUACACAUCCAUACCACACAUACACACACACAUUCACACAUCACAUUCACACACAUACAAACACCACAUAUAUACACAUUCAUACCACACAUACAGUCACACACCACAUACACACAUUCACACCACACACUCAUACAAUUCACACAUCACACAUACACACAUUCACAUCACACAU
rnacentral:lncRNA from 1 species